rnacentral:lncRNA from 1 species
AAAUAAGCCAUGUUAAUUUAAAAUAUCAGAUGUAUGUACACAAGAUCAAUGAAUACAAUUGUCACGCUAUACCAAUAAUUAACUGAUGCUCAACAGAUACUAUCUUGAAUUGAAAUAAUAACCACUGUUGUUAAAACAGAUGAAUAUAGAUCAACUUCAUGAAAUGGAAAAGAAAAAAUUAAAAUUUAUGUUAUCACUUUGAUACAACAGGUAGUCAGUCAAGUCUGCCAGUCGGAAAACUUAAUGUCCACCAACAUGCCCAAUGCAUAUGUUCCGCAAGUGGAAUGUUAUAAUUACAGGUACAUAAAACCCGUUGAUCUCAGCACCUUCCUGGAAAUGUGAAGGGCGUGCAUGUUCGUCUGGAUAAAGAUGGAUAUUGUUGUAGCAUUAACAUGAUUGAUUUGUAAAUAGAUAGCGAAACAGCUGAGCCACCACUCCAACACUCAAACUGUUCCCAAGCAAUGCAUAACUGCAGAAACAGAACCAAAUUACGAAUGUAUCACACAACUACAGUUCAGUUGAGCUAGCUCAAAAUUCAGAAGACUGACAUGUUUGGCUAAAUCUAAAGAAGUAAGAAUCCUUCUGUGGAAAGUAUGCGAUGACUUCUUAAAAAAUAAGUUUGCGAAAAAAAAAAAGUAACUUCUACAAAAGCUCAAAAACCUCUUGCUAAAUAAGUGGAUCAAAGUCAACUUUUCUUAGGCUAGGCCAGAUGUAAAGUCACUCUAUACCUUCCCCAUUUCAAUUCAGACUAUUGUAAUGAUAAGAAAGAUGACAAACAGAACAAGGCAUAAACAUCAAAAACAAACCAAAGCCCCAUCAUAAAUCAGCCACAACUAAGCUAGGAAAUACUCGAUAAAGUUCAGGUCCUGGGCCAAAGAUGCCUUGUAAUUGUCAGCAAGGUAUUCCAACAUCCAUCACCAAAAGGCAAUCAUUAUUUACAAAUCAAAUAAAAUGCAGUACAGCCCAAAAGUAAGUUAGGGCCUAAUGUCACGCACUAAAGACCAUCAAUGAAGCCUUUUGAAUCAGUGAAAAUAAUUCAAUCCAUGAAACAAACCCUUUUGAAUAUCUCCAAGAUAAUGAAAGAAUACCUAGCUUGUUGCCAAUAAGGCAAUGAAAUCCAAAAGGAUUGCAGAUACAAGAUUUUCUUUGGCUGUGAUUUCACAAACUUAUUUUCAUUACUGUACAAAUGAGUGGAGACGUAAGAGCCUGUUACUGUACAUUGCAUGUUCGAACAGAGCACGUGUUAUGUUUCUUGAUGUAUGGAGCAACAUUGCAGUGUUCCCAAUGGCAAACAAAACAGGAAAAGUUAUAUGAUGUUUUUAGUUGUUCCUAUUAAAGAGUAGCUGAAAGAAAUGGGAUCCCAAUUUGAAUCACUUCACCAAAUUUCACGUUUUGUUUUAUGACAAAUAGGCCACUAGUCAUGAAAAGCUAUAAAACAUUUAGAGCCUGUUUGAGCCACAUUUUUUGCCCAAAAAGCAUUUUGAAAU